rnacentral:sRNA from 1 species
AGGUAUAUGCUUCCUCCUUAAAACCUUUCUUACAGAAUCCUGAGAUCAUUGUUGUGUAGGUUACAACAUUAGGCUUCACUCCUUUAAGGCUGAGGCUACAAAAUAGAUCCCACCCAUCUUCCACCUUCCCUGCCUUGCACAUCCCUUCAAUCAUAAUAUUAUAUGUGUAAAUAU